CUUGUUGGUGGGGUAAUGGCCUACCAAGGCUUCGACGGGUAGCCGGCCUGAGAGGGUGACCGGCCACACUGGGACUGAGACACGGCCCAGACUCCUACGGGAGGCAGCAGUGGGGAAUAUUGGACAAUGGGCGGAAGCCUGAUCCAGCAACGCCGCGUGAGGGAUGACGGCCUUCGGGUUGUAAACCUCUUUCAGUACAGACGAAGCGCAAGUGACGGUAUGUACAGAAGAAGGACCGGCCAACUACGUGCCAGCAGCCGCGGUAAUACGUAGGGUCCGAGCGUUGUCCGGAAUUAUUGGGCGUAAAGGGCUCGUAGGCGGUUUGUCGCGUCGGGAGUGAAAUCUUCGGGCUUAACUCGGAGCUUGCUUUCGAUACGGGCAGACUUGAGGCAUUCAGGGGAGAACGGAAUUCCUGGUGUAGCGGUGAAAUGCGCAGAUAUCAGGAGGAACACCGGUGGCGAAGGCGGUUCUCUGGGAAUGUUCUGACGCUGAGGAGCGAAAGUGUGGGGAGCGAACAGGAUUAGAUACCCUGGUAGUCCACACCGUAAACGUUGGGCGCUAGGUGUGGGGCCUAUUCCAUGGGUUCCGUGCCGCAGCUAACGCAUUAAGCGCCC
rnacentral:rRNA from 1 species